rnacentral:rRNA from 1 species
ACGGGAGGCAGCAGUGGGGAAUAUUGGGCAAUGGGCGAAAGCCUGACCCAGCGACGCCGCGUGAGGGAAGAAGGUCUUCGGAUUGUAAACCUUAGUCAACAGGGAAGAAGAAAGUGACGGUACCUGUGGAGGAAGCCACGGCUAACUACGUGCCAGCAGCCGCGGUAAUACGUAGGUGGCAAGCGUUAUCCGGAUUUAUUGGGUGUAAAGGGUGUGUAGGCGGGACGGCAAGUCAGAUGUGAAAACUCGGGGCUCAACUCCGAGCCUGCAUUUGAAACUGUCGUUCUUGAGAGUCGGAGAGGUAAAUGGAAUUCCCAGUGUAGCGGUGAAAUGCGUAGAUAUUGGGAGGAACACCAGUGGCGAAGGCGAUUUACUGGACGACAACUGACGCUGAGACACGAAAGCGUGGGGAGCAAACAGGAUUAGAUACCCUGGUA